UACGAAGGGGGCUAGCGUUGCUCGGAAUCACUGGGCGUAAAGCGCACGUAGGCGGAUCUUUAAGUCAGGGGUGAAAUCCCGGAGCUCAACUCCGGAACUGCCUUUGAUACUGGAGAUCUUGAGUCCGGGAGGGGGUAGCGGAAUUCCCAGUGUAGCGGUGAAAUGCGUAGAUAUUGGGAGGAACACCAGUGGCGAAGGCGGCUACCUGGACCGGUUCUGACGCUGAUGCGCGAAAGCGUGGGUAGCAAACAGG
rnacentral:rRNA from 1 species